CUUUCCAUGAUAACAAUGGGUAGUGACCAAGCUUGGUCCAGGUGGGGCUAAAAUGACGCCUGAUCUGGCUAGCGUUGCUGCAUGAACUAAGGCAAUGGUCAGGGGUUCCAACGGAAUCUUGAGCGAAGCAGCCGCACUCACCACGGAAGCCCAUGACCAUUCUCCAACUGCUGGUAGGGAGACCUCCCGAAUUGAGCAGCCGUAGGAAGGCAUGGAGUUUGGCCGGCUUGUUGGGAUCCCCCGCUAGUGAGCCACUGGGCUGAGCCCCAAUUUCCUCCAGCUUCGAUCGUAUAACGGUAACCACAUCGACAGAGGGAUUGAUCCUCUUAAAGCCAGAAGCUUUCAAUGAAAGUGAUCGACAUUCAAGGCUCCACGGCGUGAUUGCAAACCCCUUGGGGCGUUGAAUCGAAUGACUGUUGGUUUUAUAGCGGCUCACAUGGCUUCGGAAAGAAUGAAGAACAACCUUGGCUCCCAACCGAUUGCAACCAAUUCCAUGAUCUCUGAUUCUAGAACUCGUCGAGUUCACGACUCGUUGUGCUUCAGCUCUAACUGAGAUACUAAAUCGCUGCACGAGACCGUCUUCCUCGUCCUCAAGCUAAGCCUCCUCGAAUGUUAAGUUGAGAGUGAUUCUCUUGCAGUAGUGUCGCUCGAAGCAAAACCAGUUGUGUUUUUGCUGUCAUCGGCAGAGAGACUCUUAAGUAGGCGCUCAUCUUGGUUUAUGGCUGUUGUCUAUCAGCAGUUACCCUCGUUAGGGUUUCAUUCAUAGCUUCUUAAGUCUUAUCUGCGUUCAUCGUACUUAGUCAGCCUCUCAUUACUUUAAGCAUGUACUGUUUCUUGGUUAAUUGAAUUUUUCAUUAUUCCCUCCAGUCA